CUGCAUAGGCAAGGCAAAUUUAUUUAUAGAGCACUUUCUCAUACACAGAGGUCAUUGAAAGUGCUUUACAGGCAGAAACAACAACAACAAAUAUACAAUUGAGAUACAUGAGAAGACAAACAUAUUAUAAAGGCAUAACAUAGUUUAAAAACAAAUAAUAAAGUAAUUAAAAUGCCAUCAAGCGAGACCAAUUGAAAGCUCUGGAGAAGAGAACAGUCUUUAACUUAGAUUUAAAAAUGGUUACAGUUGGCCGCAAUAUAUUUAGGGCCUAGACCAUUGAAAGACUUGAAGGCAAUAAGUAAGGCCUUGAAAUCGAUUCUGAAUUUAACCGGAAGCCAGUGCAGGGAUUUGAGAAUUGGGGUAAUUUGCUCUCUCCUCUUGGUGUUUGUGAGUAUUCUUGCAGCAGCAUUUUGGAUGAGUUGCAGCUGUUUUAUGGUCUUAUUAGGAGCAUUAAUAAGAAGUGCAUUGCAGUAGUCUACCCUACAAGUAAUAAAAGUGUGAAUGAUCUUUUCUAAAUCAUGUUUGGAUACAAAGUUUCUGAUUCUCGCCAUGUUUUUGAGAUGCCAGAAAGAUAACUUAGUUACCGCUUUAAUGUGAUGACCAAAAUGUAGGUCUUCAUCAAUUAUUACACCAAGAUUCUUGACUUUGGUACUCGUUUUUAGUCCUCUAGAGUCAAGGUAAGUACUAAGUGCCAGUCUUCC